rnacentral:lncRNA from 1 species
AGAAAUAGAAAAACAACGAAAUUUGGCCCAAAAAAAAGGCCUAAGAAAAUUUAGCAUAAAACAAAAAACAGAACAAUCUAGAAAUGUGAAAGCACCAAAAAUUGCCUAAUCAGAAUUCUUUGAAUUGCCCGUCCUAUCCAAAAGACAUCGUUUCCUUUUUGACGGUAUCAAUUCUCAGGAAAGCUUGUUCUUCAAAAACCUGUUGAUAUGCUAUGUGAAACUUUCCUUUCUUCUUUCCCCUUCUUCGGUCAAUUUCAGUCUGGUUCUCGCAUCCAGUCAGCAUUCUUUUGUUUUUCGACAUACCUAGGGACGUUCUUUAGUAGGUAAAACUCCCCACUCUUUUUUAAAUAUUAUGUUGCUAGUAUAUGGGCUAAACCAUUUGCUGAUCUCGGAGUAUAUCUGAAUACAAUAUUAUUGAAUCCAACUGUUAUCUGUUGAAUAUCAUGUAUAUAUGCUCCUACUUGUGAUCUGUCUUGACUUUUUUAUUAUCACUUCUUGAUGAUGGCUAAUAAGUCUCUUUCAGUAAUGAUUUCCGGCCACUACAUUUCAAUGCCUAUUUAGACUACUUUACGGCAUGCAAGUACUUCAUUAACGAAAAUGGAGGCCACGUCUUUAUGGGUCUCUAAGCAGGAUAAAAAAAGAUCCCCUCAACGUUUCUGACCACAAAACCCGAGGCUAAUUUUUAGUGACACCCAUCAUAUGCACCGUCAAAAUUGAUCUUAACAAUAGAACCAGGUGGGUGACUCCAUUCUCUCAGCUCCUGCAGUUUUGAGGAUUUUUUUCGAUAUCGUUUAACUCAAUUAUGUAAUUUUUAACAAAUCUCGCUAUUUCCUAACUAGUGCUAAUUUUCCUCUCAUGGAUUCUAGCAUUUCUAUCUCCCCAAAUGGCCCAGAGCUCAAAACAGAAUAUUCGACAGUGGUGGGGGGACACUCAUAAAAAACCUAGGUAAGCCACUGUGUAAAAUCUAUAGUAGUAUCAAUAAGAGUAUUCGAGAAUAAUAAUGCUGUCUAGACUUCAACUGAAAUAGGGCAUUCGCGGAACAGAUGAUCACUUGUUUCAACCCCUCUUCCAUAUUAGGGACAGGUUGUAUUAGUGACUAGUUUCCCAUGAUGCAUGUUGACUAGUGUAGGCAAGUAGUUCCAUGAUACCCUCUAGAUUCUAAUUUUUAUUUUACUAGGGAGAUUUUGAUGCUUGAGUUUUUUUUGGUAGAAGUUUCUAUAGUUGGUUUGUAAAACAUAAGCUCUAGGAUUAGCACAUGAAUUUUGUAAUAGUUUAUACGCGUUACGAACCAAAAAUUUACUGAAGGCUCACCAUUCCAUAUGAGAAAAUCAUGUGGUUUUUGUGCCAGCGAGAUACGGAGUAUCUUCUCAGCAUCUCCCUCCAAAAAGGUAUUAACAAUCAACUUUCGUUUCCAUAUUUGAUUAUUUGUAUCAAUUAACUUAGCAACUUUAGAAUCUUUCAUAUUACGAACAAGAGAAGAUAAUUUGAAAGUUUUUGCAUUUGGAAUCCAAGCAUCAUUAUUAAUUGUAACAUUCAUACCUGUACCCACACUUCAGCAAAGCCCUUUUGCCAAAAUACCAUCCGUCGCCCAAAUACUUCUCCAUGUGUUGUAUUCCCCAAUCGCGAGUUAAUGAAGUCAUUAUUUGGGAAAUACUUUGCUUUAAGCACUCGUGAAAAUAGAGAAUUUGGGUUGUUAAUAAUCCGCUAGUCUUGUUUUGCCAGUAAGGAAAUAUUAAACUGACCAUACUUCUAAAACCUAUUCCCCCUUCAUCUUUUGAACGACACAUAUGCUUCCACUGGCACCAGUGUAUUCCUUUCUUCUCAUGUCCUUUUUGCAACCAAAAUUUAGCUAAAAUGUUUUCUAAUUCCCACAUAAGGAUUUCAAAAUUAGAAAGCAUGACAUAGCAUAAGUUGGUAUUACAUGGAGCACUGAUUUUAUGAAGAUCUCCUUACCCCAUUAUGAUAGUAGUGUUGUACUCCAUCAUUCGAUUCGAAAAUAUACCCUAUCCAUAAGAUUUUGAAAGGAUUCUUUCUUUCAUCUGCCCACCACAUUUUGGAGUCCCAAAUAUUUUUUGGGUCCGUUGAACUUCUCACACCCUACAAAGUCGAUAUUCUUCCUUUUUCCCUUCUCUUUUGUAUUUAAAUUGUAGAAGAUAGUUGAUUUGUUAAAAUUCACACAUUGGCCUGAACAUUGUUCGUAUUCCAUCAUAAUUUCUUUCAAAACCAACGUUAUUUUAUUUGUUGAUUCACCAAAUAGGAUACAAUCAUCCGCGAAGAGUAAGUGUGAUAUCUUUGGUCCCCUUCUGCUAGCUUUUGCUCCUUUUAACAAUCCCUCUCGCAUAGCUAGUCUCAUUAAAGAUGAAAGUCCCUCACUACAUAGUAGAAAAAGGAAAGGACUAAGUGGGUCGCCUUGUUGGGGCCCCAUUGUAGGUUUGAAAAUGUUUCCGCUUUUCCCAUUAAUUUUUACUACGUAAGAAAUCGUGGAAAUACAUUUCAUAAUUAGUGCCACCAAUUCUGCUGCAAAGCCCAUUCGUAGCAUUACUUCCUUUAGAAAGCUCCAUUCAACUCUAUAUAAGCUUUGCUCAUAUCGAGCUUUACUGCCAUAUAUCCUUUCUUUUUGGUAUGUUUCUAGCGAAAAGUGUGUAAAAUCUUAUAGGCUAAUAGCACAUUUUCAAAAAUUAAUCUUUCGAGAACGAAAGCACUUUGAGCACUGUCAAUACAUUUCCCAAUAACUCCUUAAAGAUGAUUUGGUAUUGUUUUCUCCACAAUUUUAUAAAUGAUAGUACACAAACUAAAAGGUCUAAAAUUAACAAGACUUGUAGGGUUCAGGAUUUUUGGAAUAAGCACAAUAUUCGUCAAAUUUAUAGAGUCAAAACCAUUAACAUCAUUCAAAAUUCUGACAUCUUUACCUACAAUGUGCCAAUAUCUCUAAAAGAAUAAUACCGGAAAACCAUCUGUUCCUGGUGCUUUAAUAGGACCCAUUCCUUUUAAAGCUGAAUAAACCUUUUCUGUCGUGUAUGUUGAUAAUAAAGUUGUAUUGAUAUUAGAGGAGAUACUAGAGUCGAUACCCGUUAGUAGAUGGGAUAAAUUCCCAAUCUCAUUAGAUGAAAAUAACUUCUGAAAAACAUAGUGGUAACCUCACUAAUCUCAUCUUCGUCGCAGAUCUCCUUUCCUUCAUCUAAUUCCAGCCUAUUUAUUGUGUUUAUCUAUCCACAAAAUAAGGCAUGUUUAUGAAAGAAGGCUGAAUUCUUGUCCCCUAGUUGAAGCCAAUUGGCCCAUGCUGUUUGUUCCCAAAACAUCUCAUCUUUAUCAAUCUCCAAAUUAAGUUCAAUUUUUGUAUCAAUUAGCGUUGUCAUUGUGUCUUCACCCCUCUCUUUCUCUAAAAAAUUUCUAACUCCUUAGUAAGUUUCCAUUUUAAACCUUCCCAACCUUUCUUAAUUAUACUUGCCCACCUCUUCAGUCUGAAUUGCAACCUUUCUAGUUUUUCAAUGAGCAUACCAGUUGAGGACUCCCAAGAGUUCUUAAUUUCUUAUUCAAUAGAUUCUUCCAUAGUCUACCACGCCUCAAAUUUAAACCUUGGGAUCCCCAUACAAAUUCUUGCAUUAUAUGUAUUUAGGAGAAGGAGGUAGUGGUUCGAUAUUGAGUGUGGUAAAUGUCGGAUACUGCCUUUUGAAAAAAGAUACAACUAUUUUUCAUUCGCAACUCCCCUGUCUAAUCUCUCCAUGAUGUUUGUUUCUGGCAAGUUCCCUUUCUCUAAUGUAAACCAUACCCCAGUAUACCCUACAUCCAUUAAUUGGCAUUCUUCAACAACAUCACAGAAUGCCUCCAUUCUUCUCUCCUCCCUCGGUAUUCCUCUAGUCUUUUCAAAUGAAUACAUGAUUUCGUUGAAGUCGCCACUUACCAACCAAGGAUAGUCUUUAUCCUGACCUAGUUUUCUUAAUAAAUUCAAAGAAACAUUCUUAUUACUUACACAAGGUGCACCAUAAAACCCCGUAAAUCUCUAUUCCUUAGCAACAUUAUCCUCCUUAAUCAAAGCAUCAAUGUGGCUUUUGGAGAAACUCCUUAACUUAACAGUAACUUCCCCUUUCCACGCCAAGCAUAGCCACCACGUAAACCUUUCGCUCCCAAAUCAAUUCCAUUCACAAAACUGCAUCUCCUUCUGACUUUUUCUAUACGUUUCUCAUCAAUUUUUGUCUCCAUAAAGAAGACCAUCUGGGGAUUGUGUUGCUUCAGCAAAUACCAAAGCCUAUGUACAGCCCAUAGACUCUCCAGUCCACGAACAUUCCAACAUAUAAUUUUCUUUGCGUCCGGUCAGCUUGCCUUUUGGCAGUCUCCGAUCCAUAUUGAUUGGGAACACAAAAUUGUUCUGAGUUUUCCAACGCCUAAUCUAAAGGAGUUACUACAUGUACAUCUUUAUUCUCGUGUUUUGUCCUUUUAUAUCCGUCUUCACAAGAAUUCAUCAUACUUCGCUCUUCAGUUUCUAUUUUUGCUUAUUUCCUCUUUCUCAUUAUGCUUUCUUCCUCAACUUGAUUCAUCAUUACCCCUGGUCUAAUUAUUUUCCAGCUUGUCUUCUUAACUGAUUUAGAUUUGUCUUCCAGUAUACUGUCUAUCCCGUUCAAUCUCUCAAUGUUCUCCAUAACAGACCCUUCUUCUUGUAUAUCACCUUCAUUAUGACAUUUGAACAUUCCAUCCUCAUACCUUGAUUUUGGUGCUGUAAACAUCCCCGACUGCCUAGUGUCGUACAUUAAGAUUUUUUAUUUUAAAUCUAUAUACGUCUUCUUUGCCUCCUCUUUUCGUUUUAGUUGUAAAUUAUCUUACAGGCUCUAAAACAUAGCAUUCCCAUCAUUUAGCUUUUUAUUUAUCCCAGAAAGCAUCCCAAUGUCACCUGUGUAGGAACAUUGGGGCAUCAUCUUUUUAGAGAGGGAGCUAAAUUUCAAAAUUUCUUUCCCAAUUUUAAAUUUAGUUAAGCUUUUAGUGCUAAUGAAUAUGGUAAAUCAUCUCCAAGUUUGUUCUUUUCUGCAGGUUUUAACUCGAUACAGUCCUUGAACCCAUACCUCAUUCGUCUACAUACAAAGAAGAAAGUCACCAAAUUCUCAUAUUUAAAGGAGAUACACGAUUUCCUUUGAAUACCUUCUGAGACGAAAAUUCUCCUACAUAGACGUUUCUGCACAUCCAAUUGGACUCUAAGAUGAUAAAAUUCUCCUUUCAGAUCUAAUUACUCCUCCAAAAGUAACUACUAUGGCUUUUAGGAAAUUUUUUUUGUCGAAUUCUGGUAAAUACGAUCCAAUCUUGAUCCAAUACGGUGAAGAAAUAAGCCGAAUUUGACUUCUUUCCAUCGGUUUAACCAACCGAUUGAAGAGUAUAAGUUGUUUCAUAAAUAGCCAUGGUCGACCCUCUAUAACUGUCUCUAGAUCUUCUUCAGUUUCAAACACAACCAAAAACAGAUUUUGCCCUGCCAGUUGAAUAUCAAAUUUUUUCCUAGUAUUCCAAAUACUUUUCAUUUGUGCCCUAAAACUGUCUGGAUUGUAAGAUUUUCCUAUCCAUACAGUACAUAACAAAGUUGGUUUCUCACUUGGUACAACCAUCGAGCUUUUGAUCGAUGAUUGGACGAGCUCUUUCGCCAGAAGGGAGAUCUCGUCUCUUCCCAAACUCUCUACGCCACUACUUUUCUCCAUCUCAAACCACAGUAGUUAUUGUUUUCUCUAUGACACUUAAGAAAAGCACUCUUGGCUAUUUUACAAUUAUAUAUAAAAUAAAACUAAUGUUUAACACUAUAAAUAUAUGCAUUAGUAAGGCAAUUUCAUUCAAGAUAAUAUUUAAAAAAUUACUGGAAAAUAAUAUUGUAGAAUUAUUUAAUAGGCUUUGUUUCCAUUAUCAUAAAAGAUGUGGUUUUUAUUAUUUGAGAUGUUUAUUCAUUAUUAUUUUAUAUUCCAUAGUUUUACUAUUAAUUAAUUUUAAUAAUCAUAAUUGUGAAUGUUAUUUAACAUUGUGUUGUGAAAUAUUAUACUAAAAACAAUAAAAUAUUAACAUAACCACUCUUGGUAGGUGAAAAUUUUACUCAUAUUCGAAUGACAAGUUAUCACUUAUAUAUUUAUAUAUACACUACAGUAAUACAAAGUUACAAUUCAGGAAAGUAAUCCAAUGUGGCAUAGUUUAAAAGUUGCCACAUGUACAUAUUGUUCAAAUUUGCAAACCUAAUAGUAAUUUAAAUUUUCAUUUAAAUGCUUAAAAUUUUUAACCUCCCCAACCCAGCCUAGGCGUUAGACUCGAAUUCGGAAGAUUACAUUAGUCAUUGGAAUGACCUAAUAAGUUAUCAUAGUUAAAAUUUCAUAAAAACUCAUGAAAUAAUAAAAAUUUAUUAAGUUAUAUUUUUUCGUAUAAUGGUGAUUUCUUUUGAAACUUAGCUAAUCCCUAAUUUAUUUAUUACCUAAAUUUCAGUUAUAACCUAGCAGUGGAAAGGGAUAUUCAAUUUAGUUUUUAAUUACUAUUCAUAAUCUGAUGUCCUAAACUUAAAUCAAAUGUCUUGCAAGAUAUAUAUAUAAACCCAAAUCCUAUGUCACAUGCCACAAUUCAAAAUAAAAUAAUAGUCUAUGAAUAAUAGAAUUAUCAUAUAAAAAGCCUAAAAUAUUUUAAUAAAUAAACCGAGCCAAAACCCUAUAGAUGUCGUGUUCGCGUUCUAACCAGGCGGGUUAUCUGUAGAGAAGGAAAUGAGCUAUAAAGCUCAGUGUGAGUUUCAUUAUAAAAAAACCAAUGCAAACGACUAAGUAUACAGAAACACGACACAUAGAAUAACGCAUUUUCUAGUUCCUACGUGGUCUCCUCAGUGUUGUAGUUCUGCCACAGAACCUUGAGAAGUAGGAUCCAUUUCCUUCUCAGAAUCUUUGUCACGAUCUAAAAUUUGUACGGGUUCUUUUUCAAAGGACAAAUAUGAGAAGGGUCAGAUCAGUAUCGUCUUAACAUAGAGAAGUGGAAUACAUCAUGAAUAUGGUCCAAUCUGGAGGUAAUUCUAAUUGGUACGCUAUUAGACCAAAUCUUUUAAGAAUUCUAUAAGGUCCGAUGAACCUAAGACUUAAUUUUUCUUUUUUCCCAAACAUCAACACUUUUUGUCAUGGGGACACUUUUAGGAAGAUUUGAUCUCUGACACUGUACUCAAUGUCUUUCCUCUUUAAGUCUGCAUAUGACUCCUACCUAUCCAAAGUUGCUUUUAUUCUAUCCUAAAUCAAUUUGAUUUUCCCUUCGGACUCCUGUAUCACUUCCGGAAUCUAAAUUUUCCUUUCACCCAGUUUGGUCCAACACAGUGGUGUUUGACUUGUUCGACCAUACACAACUUCAUAGAGUGCCAUUUGUAUACUCGAUUGGGAGCUAUUGUUAUAGGCAAAUUCUGCUAGAGCAAAUGUUCCUCCCAACUACCUCGAAAUUCUAUGAUGUAGCCUCUUAACAUAUUGUUCAAUAUAUGAAUAACUUGUUCGGAUUGCCUGUCAAUUUGUGGAUAGAAGGCAGUAUUAAAAUCCAAAUGAGUACCCAGCGCCUCGUGAAGCUUUUUCCAGAAUUGAGAUGUAAAACGGGGAUCUCGAUCUAAGAUGAUAUAGAAUGGUACUCCAUGCAAUCUUACAAUUUUUGAAAUAUAUAACCUGGCAGCAGAAAGAGUUAUUUUAUUUAGUUUUUAAUAAAAGUCAAGGUUCAUGCAUAUCUAAUUACUAUUCAUAAUCUGAUAUCCUAACCUUAAAUUAAAUGUCAUGCAAGUUAUAUAUAUAAAAAAACCCAAAUCCUAUGUCUCAUGCCACAAUUCAAAAUCAAAUAAUGUAGUAUAUGCAUAAUAGAAUAAUCAAAUAAAAAGCCUAAAAUAUUUUAAUAGAUAAAACCAAGCCAAGAUCUUCUGUAUGUCGUGUCCGUGUCCUAACUUGGUGGGUUAUCAGUAGAGAAGGAAAUGAAAAAGGAGUGAGCUAAGAAGCUCAGUGUAAGUUCCGUCACAAGAAAAUCAGUGCAAAUGACUAAGCAUACAAAAACACAAUACAUAGAAUAACUUAUAAUAGUAAUUUCAAAUUAUCGGUAUUUUAGAUCACUCAACAGUAUAUAUAUGACAUCUUAAAAUCUCAUAAUUGUAUGCACAUGCUUUUGUGAAUGCAAUAAAAUUUUUGUUUAAUAGAAAGGGUCUUACCCCACGACUACACACCACAAUAGGAGUUCCCCUGAACUCCAACCACCUACAGACUUGGUUGUGGUUUUAACCACCAAUGGUUUGUGGAUAAAUUGCUAAUGGUUGUGGACACGCAGCAAAAACAUCGUAGAUGAAAUUUUCCUAUGGUUCUUGGUACACAACAAAAACACCACAGAUGGAAUCUGCCUAUGGUUGUGGGUACAUAAUAAAAUAAUGCAGAUAAAAUCUACCACUAGCUGUAGAUGCACAACAUGUCUGCAGGUAAGAGCUGCCAAUAGAUUGUGGAUGCACAAAAUAAUUGCAGUUAAGGGAAAAACACUACUAAUGGUUGUGGGUGCAUAAGAUGAACUACCAACACUUUCUUCUUACAUAUCAUCCCACCACAUGUAAUACAAUAAGAUAUAUUCAAAAUAGAUUAAUAUGGUGGCAUUUAAUAUGCUUUUAAUAGAACAUUAGAGUAGCAAUUACUAUGCUUCUAACGGAUCAAUUUAGUAGCAAAAAAUAUGUUUAUCAUGUGUUCGAUUUUACAAUAAUAUAAGGCAUGUUCAACAUGCCAUUAGUAGUACAGAUGCAUUAGGCAUAUAUUAUUCACUUAACACGUAUAUCCAAUACUAUUUCGGUUAAUUAGAAUAUGCAUUCCAAUAUUUAUAUUCUCAAAGAUUCAAUUGAAAGAAAUAAAUCUCUAAAAAUAAUUUGGAGACUAUCUAGGGAUUAAACUGAAUAAAUUAUAAAAUUAUAGGCAAAAUUAUAAAAUUCUAAAGAAAAGGGUCACAUGGCUGUAUGGCCAGGCCGUGUGAGAGGGUUGAAGUUGGGUGGAGGGGUUACAUAACCAUGUGACCAGGCCGUGUAAUAGACUGUAGUUACAUGGAAUUCACAAAAACAAGUUACAGGGGAGGCACAGCUGUGUGGCAGGUUGUGUAGGAGGAUCUUGGUCGUGAGAGAUUUGAACUAGCGUAAUGUUUUAGAGGUACAUGACCGUGUAAGGGGCUGUGUGGUGCAUAUGCCCGAGUGAAAAAUCGUGUGGCCCUAAUCCUAAGCACUGUUUACCCCGGUUCACUUGUAAGAGAAUGUACACCUUUCACCGGAAGCCCGAACGACGUCCCUUGCAGACAAGUUUGAUCUGAUGCACCUAAAACAUGUCAUUCAAAUGAUGUUUUUUGCUUGAAUUAGCAAUUAAUUCCAAGAUUUGAUGAAUUAAUUGAAAGAUCUGGCAAGAACCACAAGAUAACAUAAUCGGAUUUAAAAAUUAGUGUGGAUCAGUGCUACUUGAGUUUUUAUGAGUUUUACUAAUUGAAACGAGAAUAUUUACUGAACUUUUGACAAAGAUUCGGGCUAUGGAUAAUGAAUUUGACAACUAAUAGAUAAAUGGUUUAAUAGAAAUUGAUUUUGGUUUGAGAAAAGCAAAAAUAAUUCUCAGUGGUAAAAUUGAAGUAUGAUGAAAAGAAAAUGAGGAGAAAAAGGAAGAAGAAGAUAAAGAGUAAAGAAGAGCAAUUCUAAUUGGAAUGGAAAAAAAAUCCUAAUGUAAUUAAGAAAAAAGUGACUAAAUACCUAGGGUUUUCAAACUUCAAGGGGAUGCAUGGUAAUUUGCCCUUUCUACCAAAAUAAAUGGAAAUGAAAAGGGUUUUAGGGUGGCUUGAACAUGGGUAUCCAAGGGAAAGAAGCAAGCAUGCAACCAUUAGGCCUAAGCAUAUUUCUUAUUAAGUUUUCACUCGUAAUAAUAUAUAUUUUAGUGUGAUUUUUAUCCUAAUUUGCUAAAAUUAAAAAGAAAAGAAAUGGGGGAGGAGUGGUUUGAACCUAAGAUCUCCAAGGAGUGGACAAACUACUUAACCAUCAAACCUAUUCAAUUUCUUGAUUUUUUUUUUUGCAAUUAACCCCUUAUAUUUUGGGGUGUGACAAAAUUAGCUUAGUCAAUUGCUAAAUUCCUAUUUGAAUAAGAAUAUGGAUAUAUCUAUAUAUAUAGAUGUAUAUAUCAAUAUUCCUUAUAAUUAUGAUGCAUAGUAAAUAAAAUUUCAAAGUACUAGAUUAAUUAAAUAAAUACAACAAAAAAUUGAAUAUUUUUUUAAUCGGGGUAAUACAUUUUCAACAAGUAAAUGCUAAAAAGUAUCAAACACUCCCAGUAAGUAUGCUUGUUGUUUAUAGGUGUCAAUGCUUAAUAAUUGUUGACUUUGAGUGAACAAUUUCAUUGCCUUUUCAAUAAAAAAAUUCAUUGCCUUAAUUAUGAAUAAUUUCAUUAUCUGAAUAUUCAGAUUCUUACCACUGGCAAGUUCUCUCUGUGAGGGUGAUGGGGAUGAGGGACGUUCUACAGAAGACCAAAUCACUAAGAAGGUACAGUUUAAGGAUAAGAACGCAGAACUGAACAUAAUCAAGGCGAUGGAUUUGACUCCUAAAUCGAAUUUUUCUUGGAAAGAGAGAUUAAUGGUGAAAAACCUUACUGACCUGGAAAGGGUAGCUGAAAAUACAUAAUUAGAAGUGGAUGAUGAUUUUAAUUAUUGCGAAGGGGAUAUCUGUAACGCAUAAGUUUGUGCAAGUGUACACAGUCGUUAUCAAGUAAUAAGUAAGUAUCGAGUUAUCAUCUCCACAAGGAUUGUAUUUGCGCUAAGUCACUUAAUUUGUAAAAUUAUAUUAACAAAUUGGUAAAGAAAAAUACGAUAUAAUUGAGAAGUGGUGAUUGAAAUAUAUUAAACUAAAUGCAAUGAUCCCUAAUGCAAAUUAUCCUAAGUUUGCAAACUAUAUGAAUGAAAUAGAUUUUAGUAAAAUUAAACACAAUUUGCAAUAAUUAUAACAUAAAUAAACUAAGAAAAUUACUUUAAUUAAACACAAUUUAUUAUCAACAUGCUUAAUAACAUUUGGAAAAUUAUUCCAUGGCAACUUGAUCUUUCAUGAGUUUGGAAACCAUAUUAGGUCCUUUCGGAAUCAUUUACUUAGUAAAUACGCAUUUUACUGAUCCUUAUUUACUAAGGGUUUCUUAGCAUUCGUGUGAGGUAACAGGGACUUGUCAAGUUUGAAACAAUUUAAUCACACAAAUCUAAAAACUAUGCAUAUAACAGAGCUUGGUCAGAGUUGUUAUGCAACCUCCAAUUUAAUCGGGUCAGGAUUUAAAUUGAGCAUGCACAAUUCAAUUAUGUGUCCAUUAGCCGUCGUCCGGUCAAGAUCGCUC